UAAUACGGAGGGUGCAAGCGUUAAUCGGAAUUACUGGGCGUAAAGCGCACGCAGGCGGUUUGUUAAGUCAGAUGUGAAAUCCCCGGGCUCAACCUGGGAACUGCAUUUGAAACUGGCAAGCUAGAGUCUCGUAGAGGGGGGUAGAAUUCCAGGUGUAGCGGUGAAAUGCGUAGAGAUCUGGAGGAAUACCGGUGGCGAAGGCGGCCCCCUGGUACGAAGACUGACGCUCAGGUGCGAAAGCGUGGGGAGCAAACAGGAUUAGAUACCCUGGUAGUCCACGCUGUAAACGAUGUCGAUUUGGAGGUUGUGCCCUUGAGGCGUGGCUUCCGGAGCUAACGCGUUAAAUCGACCGCCUGGGGAGUACGGCCGCAAGGUUA
rnacentral:rRNA from 1 species